UGGGGAAUUUUGGACAAUGGGCGAAGCCUGAUCCAGCAAUGCCGCGUGUGUGAAGAAGGCCUUCGGGUUGUAAAGCACUUUUGUCCGGAAAGAAAUCCUUGGCUCUAAUACAGUCGGGGGAUGAACGGUACCGGAAGAAUAAGCACCGGCUAACUACGUGCCAGCAGCCGCGGUAAUACGUAGGGUGCAAGCGUUAAUCGGAAUUACUGGGCGUAAAGCGUGCGCAGGCGGUUUGCUAAGACCGAUGUGAAAUCCCCGGGCUCAACCUGGGAACUGCAUUGGUGACUGGCAGGCUAGAGUAUGGCAGAGGGGGGUAGAAUUCCGCGUGUAGCAGUGAAAUGCGUAGAGAUGUGGAGGAAUACCGAUGGCGAAGGCAGCCCCCUGGGCCAAUACUGACGCUCAUGCACGAAAGCGUGGGGGAGCAAAACAGGAUUAGAUACCCUGGUAGUCC
rnacentral:rRNA from 1 species